GCCCGCUCAGAAACUUAAAGGAAUUGACGGGGCCCGCACAAGCGGUGGAGUAUGUGGUUUAAUUCGAUGCAACGCGAAGAACCUUACCUGGUCUUGACAUCCCGGAGACCCUUAGGAAACUAGGGGGUGCUUCCAUCUGGAAGAAUCUGGAGACAGGUGCUGCAUGGCUGUCGUCAGCUCGUGUCGUGAGAUGUUGGGUUAAGUCCCGCAACGAGCGCAACCCUUGCCUUUAGUUGCCGGCAGUUCGGCUGGGCACUCUAAAGGGACUGCCGGUGUUAAACCGGAGGAAGGUGGGGAUGACGUCAAGUCCUCAUGGCCUUUAUGACCAGGGCUACACACGUACUACAAUGGCCGAUACAAAGGGCAGCGACACUGCGAGGUGAAGCCAAUCCCGUAAAAUCGGUCUCAGUCCGGAUUGGAGUCUGCAACUCGACUCCAUGAAGUUGGAAUCGCUAGUAAUCGUGGAUCAGCAUGCCACGGUGAAUACGUUCCCGGGCCUU
rnacentral:rRNA from 1 species